rnacentral:lncRNA from 1 species
AUGCCACAUCAUCUCAACAGUAAUAAGGUAUGAAUGCAUCAACAUAAUCAUAUCAGGUGCAAGAAAGUAAUCAACCGUAGGCCCUCUAAUAGCCCUGUACGGUUGAACCUAGAGCUCAAAAUCUAUCACUCUCACUCUCUGCCGGAGUCACUCCGCGUGACCUGUACGGCCUUCUGCACAUAAGUUACGCUCUAGUGCUUUUCAUAAUCAUCUGUGCACAUAAUCUAAGGUCACCCACCAGUCGGAAUCUCACUAACACUCUCGCGACUGGCCUGUCGUACCCACUCCGCGUGGACUGUACGACUAGCAUCUACUUGGAUCCAAGACGAGCGUGCGAUGCGGUGAAUACUAUAAGCACUAAACUAUGGUGCAUGAUUUGAGCUCAAUAUACAUCAACAUCAUCAUAACAGAAAUAAAUACUCACAUGUGCGUCCACCGCACCAUUUCAUACAUAUGCAUCAUAAAUCAAUUCUUACCUGUGCGUCCACCGCACCAAUUCAUACAUAUGCAUCAUAAAUCAAUUCUUACCUGUGCGUCCACCGCACCAAUUCAUACAUAUGCAUCAUAUAUUAAUUCAUGCAUGGCAUUUCAAUUCACAUUUCUAUAUACUUUUCAUAUCAAUUCUAUGCAUGGUAUUUCACUUCCCGUUUUUCCACAUAACUCAUAUGCAUUUCAUUUUAAACAUAUUUUCAUUUCAAUUCAAUUUCUGGGAAACGUCAAGUAUAUAUAUAUACGGAAAACAAAACUGCCCACUCACCUGGAGUUCGUCCAACAACUCCCUAGCACCACACAUCAAGGCGUCACGACGAUCGCCGCCUAGAAUAGUAAUCAAAUCCAACCUCAGAAUUCAUAUCGAUAGAAUAUAUAACUUAUAUAAAAUACGUCACUACGUAGUUCGAUCCGAAAGAUCUGCCACUCAGAUUUUAAAUCCAUAACUUCCAGAGGUCCACAAUAUAUCUCUAGGAUAACCUCCUAAAAUUUCAUUACCAUCCAACGGUCGGAUCUCCGUAAAUUUCCAAAACAAUUCCAAUUCCGGAAGAUCCGUAACUCGGAUUCCCAAUCCGUAAGUUCCAAUAAUCCUCAAAUAUUACGUAUUACAACGUAUCAAAGUUUGGUAACGAUCCAACGGUCGGAUCGUCAAUUCACAUUUUUACCUAAAUGUGAAAACUAUAAAACGUUAUUCGAACACCUAACCAACAAUCCUUAAUAACUUUCUCAUACGGUGCUCAAUUUGGGUAUAUGAAUAUACCACGGUGAUCUACUCGACGUCACGGACGUCGACAUAUUUUUAAAAUAAUUUUAUUUUUAUUUUUUUACUGUAGCACCUUCUUCUUCCUUGGGUCGCCGGACUGGUUUUUCCGGCGGCCGUUUUCCGGGCAGUUUUUCAAAUUUCCAUAACUUUGUCAUUUCUCAACGAAAUCAAGUGAUUCAAAAACGAGAGUUGUAGCCCUUGAAGAGACAAAGAGAAUGGUACCUUUCACAACACCUAGUUCGCCGUGGUUUGGCCGGAAACUGCCUCGAAAGCCUCGGAGGUCGCCGGAAACUGGGUAUUUUUCAAAUGAGUAUAACUUCUUCAAUACUCAACGAAAUUGAGUGAAACAAAAAGGAAAGUUGUAGUACUUGACGAGACGAAGAUAUUUAUACCUACCUCGACUCCUAACUCGCAGGGGAUUCGCCGGAAAAAGCCUCGAAAGCUCCGGCCAAACUUUGAACUUGUCGAUCUCCGUGUUCUUACGUCCAAAAACUUCCAACGAAGCACUCCGAGCUUCCUUGGGACUUCCUAAAGCUCACUAUGAGCUUGGUUUGGCCUAAAACACGACCAAUUCAAAGCUCAUGAACAGUACACAUUCACGGCAACUUUAGAAACUAGGGUUUUCGAAGUGAAACUUACUUGAAAUGGGUAUCAUCGUGAUCGUAUGGUCUUCAGGAGUACGAUGGCACUCUUAAAUCCGUCGUUGGUGGAAGUUUAGGGUGUUUUUGUGGUGGUCUUGGUGGUUGCCGUGUGUUCGAGAGGGUGAGAGAGAGAGAGAGAUCUGAAAUGGAAGAAGAAGAGAGAGAAGGGAAAGGUUACGGGUUUUAGGGAGUGUUUUGAGGUAUGAGGAUCCCACCUUAACCCAAACACAACAUUACAACCUAGUUUUUAGUCCCUAACACAAAUUAACCAUAGUUCAGGAACUUUAAAAAAAACAAAUGUCAUCUCUUUACACACCUUAAUCUCGUUUAAGGUCAUUUUUGAAAUUUCACGUCCUCGGAAUGAAAAAUCCCGGGACGAGCUGUGACAAUCUUCCCUCCUUAUAGAAUUUCGUCCCCGAAAUUCCAGCAACCAGCUAAAUUAACCAUACUCAUACAAUAGCCUCGGGUAAAUCUCUCUCAUCCGAUUCUCUUUCUCCCACGUAAUUUCUUCCACCGAAUAAUUUUCUUCACAAAAAACUUUUACCACUUACCCUGUUUUAAUUCUGAGGGCAUCACAAGCUUGUAAGCAACUUCACCAACUUUUCGAUAAUCACUUAAGUCCGAUUCACUUAGGAUUUAACUUACCUUCUUUCUCUACCUUGGUUAAUUCUUAAAUUUCUUCGUCAAGCAUUUAAGUUUCGAGUACGACCUUACCAAACAGGCCUAACUUGAAAUUUUAACAAGUAUAACUUCUUCUCGAUCUUCCCAUUCUUAAUUUUUCUUCCGUUGGUUUUCAAUUCACAAGAUGAUACUCUUGGCAAACGUGCCAGACAUUAAUCAUACUGUAGUCUUCUCACCAAGUGCUUCAGCUACAACAAUUCACGAUCACCCUGAUCGUACCAUCAUGUUCAUUAAGCAAUACAAUUCACCUUUGUUGCCUCAUAUCAAAAUCCUUCCGAAUAAACAAAUAUUGGAGACUCUUUUGAUUUGUAAAAUCUUGCAUUCUUUUCAACAUAUAAUGUCUCCACAACUUCACAGCAAGGAUGAUAAUCGUGACUUCCAAGUCACCAGUAGGGUAAUUCAUCUCAUUAGGUUCCAUUUGUCGUGAAACAUAUUCAAUCACCCUAACAUUUGCAUCAAUACAUCUCCAAGAAUAUUUAAUGUACCAUCACCAUAAACCAAUAAUUACCGCUAUCUUCUGGGAUUACUAAAAUACGUGCAUGAGUGAGGAAAUACUCCAGUUGUUGAAUCCUUUGCUCACAAUUUCCUUCCCACUCAUACAUAACCUCCUUUCUCAACAGUCUUGUCAAUGACAAAGCAAUGACUAAAAAUUCUUUCACAACCAUCCAAAAUAGCCUGAUAAGUUAAGAAUUUCCGAAUCUCAAUUAUGACUUGUGGUUGUUCCAAUUUCUCAAUUCUGCUGCCUUUUAAGAAUUCAUUUGAAUACCUUAAGCAGAUAUAACCAACCUCAGAAUGCCACCUGAUUCAUCUAACUUUCGCAUUUGCUAAACUUAGCAUAUAAUCGACAUUCUUCCAAUCUUUGUUCCACCGACUUAAUACAUUUACAUGCUCUGCUCUGGCUCAUAAUAUGCCAGAAUAUCUUCAACGAAAAUGAUAUCAAUUAUCAAAGCAUUAUUGGAAUACUUCAUCCAUCAACUCAUAAAACAGAAUGAGUAUCCAUAUAGCAUCACCAAACUUCAUAAAGACUAUAACAAGUCCAGAAAACUAUCUUAUGAUCAAUGUCGCUCAAAAUCUUCAAUUGGUAAUAACCAGACCUCAAUCAAUCUUUUGAAAAUACACAAAUACCUUUGAGCUGGUCAAACAAACAUCAACGCACCAUGGAUAACGGUUCUCGAUCGUUACCAAUUCCAUUGUCUAUAAUCAAUGCACAAUCUCUAAGUCCAUUUUCUUUUUCACCAACAAACUGGGGCUCCUCAAAAGUGUUGUACUAGGUUGAAUAAAACUUUUAUCAACCAAUUCUCUCAACUGAAUUUCCAAUUCCCUUAACUCAUCCUGAACCAAUCUCCAAUAUAAAUUUAUACCUGGUAACAAAUCAAUAAUGAACCUCAUAUCUCUGCCUGAAGACAAUCCAGGUAUACUUCAGGGAAGACAUCAAGAAAAGUCUAACCCCUUUUUCAUUUUUCACACUUCUCCGAGCAACAUCCUUUAGUACCACAUGAACUAAGUAUUUUUUUUUGGGCAGCCUUUCAAAACAAUCUCUUUGCUUUCACAGCAUAAAUAACGGCCUGACUCAAUCCACUUUGCAUACUUACAAAAGAAAUCCCUGGUCAUCCAGAUCGAUGGAAAAUACUGGUUUCCCGUAACAUUCCGUCUUGUCACAAUUAUAACCAACCAAUCUAAUGGAACAAAAUUAACUGAUACAAUAUAUAUUCUAUUAUUAUUAAGCAUUCUAAAUAAGUACAAUACUAACAUAAAAUAAUCUACCGGGUUGCUUGCUUAACGAAUCCACGAAUGAGUUAUUAAUAUUACGGUCUGCAGCCCGCAAAUACUGAUAAAUCAUCGUUGUCUCGAUAAGUAGGCAACCACUCUCAAAGAUAUAACAUUACUAUUUUGUCACUCAAUGCAAAAUACAUACACUCGUCUCAACUACAUUUAUUUACUACUCUCUAGGUAAUAACAUACAUAAUAAGAAAUAUAUCAGCCGAAGUCAACUAGAAUGACCAAUACGGCUGAUUCAACUCUUAUCUCAAUAAUACGUCGGUCGGAUCCACUCCGCGUGGUCGGUACGGCCGAGCCUAUAACUCACCAAUUUCUCAUGCGUCAGCCAGAUCCACCUCUCGUGGCCUGUAUGGCUGAACAUAUAACUCAUCAAAUCUCUCUGUACCCACGGUCAAUCCGACCAAACUACUAAAUCCAUAAACCUGCUGAAUCGAUACUACGAUGUCAUAGAAAACUGUUGGGUACAACUGAUUUUAGGGACGAUUCACAAUUCUGUGUCCCCUCUGUUCACAUAAACACAUUCAUUAAUUUCACACUUCCCAAAGUGUUAAUUUUGUACCUGCUGCACAAGGUACAUUUCCUGUACUCGAGACACCUUGUCUCAAAAAUCUGGGAUUACCAGUAUAUCCAUCACUUCGCCUCUGACUAGUGGCGUUAAAACCUCAGCUGGAAGAAUUAACUCUAGCUUCACUUCUUUCGAAGCUCUGAAUCUUUCUAUAUCCUUGAUAUGACGAAUCAUUAACUUUAUCGUCUUCUUUUGAUUCCCAUUCAUUUCUUAUUCUUCUUUAUUCUCGUUGCUCAUGUUCUCAGAGUCCUCAAGACUCAACAGCAUCUCGUAUAUUCCUGGUAAGAAGUACAAUGGAUAGUGGUCACCCAAAAUACCACUUCCCUUUUUGUCACCCAGCCUAAAACAACAUAACACCUCCACCAAAUUAACAACAAUAUCUGGAUGGAACGAGGCAAGUCUGAAAACUUUCUAUAAUAUCCCUCGAUCAUCACCUUCCUUGUCUCAUAUUUGUAAACUCUUGUUUACUACCAUCGAUAAAUGCCGGGGGAUAAACUUUUCCUUAAACAAGUCCUUAAAUAAUUCUCAAUCAACUGUUUCCUCCGGUGACAACAAUUAACAAUCCUGUUUCCACCAGGAUACAAAUUCAUACCCAAAACCAGGUAGUCGUCUCGACCCCUUGUCAGAAGGAAAUUUCCUUUAACUUGCAUAAUCUGAAACAUCUUUUCCAAACAGUUAAACCGUCACUUCGUUCCCUCAGGUUCAUUAUUUCAUAAGGUGAUUCAAAUUCGACUCAUAAUCCGUCUUAAAAUGUCCCUUUUUAUAAUAGACUGAAUCACCAUAAUAAUAGUUUCCCCUAAACCGCUAUAUUAGGGAGACUAAAUUCCUCUAACUAAGUGGCUUGCUACGAGGCGGUGUAGUUCUGACAGAAUUCACUAUAAACUUCUCAAGAUGUCCAAGAUUGCAACCAUGCUCUGAUACCAACUGACACACCCCGUCCCGAAGGAGGGCAUGCUGGCCGUCACGUGAGAGUGACGUAACCAUUUGCACAGUACGGAAGCUUUAAGAUACAAUUUAUAAGUUGAUACACCCGAAGGUGAGUCCUAAUUUUGUCCAAUCUGUCAGAACACCGUCGAAUUCCUCGUAGUCACCACACCUUUGUGAUUCCUGAACCUGGAGGGGCGCAAAACCAAAAUUGAGUGGGUCAGUAAAACAAUUCUUUUCAAAUCCAAUUUUUUCUCAAAGCAUUGUAACCCCUCUCCGUAAAACCUGUAUACUUUCCCAGAAAUGUAAAAUAUAAAUAUACAUAUAUAUUCUCAAAACUUCAAGUCGUUAACUCAACAUUUUCAUAACAAUUAUGUCAUGCCACAUCAUCUCAACAUUUCUCAUAUUAAUUAUGCCAUGCCACAUCAUCUCAACAGUAAUAAGGUAUGAAUGCAUCAACAUAAUCAUAUCAGGUGCAAGAAAGUAAUCAACCGUAGGCCCUCUAAUAGCCCUGUACGGUUGAACCUAGAGCUCAAAAUCUAUCACUCUCACUCUCUGCCGGAGUCACUCCGCGUGACCUGUACGGCCUUCUGCACAUAAGUUACGCUUUAGUGCUUUUCAUAAUCAUCUGUGCACAUAAUCUAAGGUCACCCACCAGUCGGAAUCUCACUAACACUCUCGCGACUGGCCUGUCGUACCCACUCCGCGUGGACUGUACGACUAGCAUCUACUUGGAUCCAAGACGAGCGUGCGAUGCGGUGAAUACUAUAAGCACUAAACUAUGGUGCAUGAUUUGAGCUCAAUAUACAUCAACAUCAUCAUAACAGAAAUAAAUACUCACAUGUGCGUCCACCGCACCAUUUCAUACAUAUGCAUCAUAAAUCAAUUCUUACCUGUGCGUCCACCGCACCAAUUCAUACAUAUGCAUUAUAAAUCAAUUCUUACCUGUGCGUCCACCGCACCAAUUCAUACAUAUGCAUCAUAUAUUAAUUCAUGCAUGGCAUUUCAAUUCACAUUUCUAUAUACUUUUCAUAUCAAUUCUAUGCAUGGUAUUUCACUUCCCGUUUUUCCACAUAACUCAUAUGCAUUUCAUUUUAAACAUAUUUUCAUUUCAAUUCAAUUUCUGGGAAACGUCAAGUAUAUAUAUAUACGGAAAACAAAACU